rnacentral:rRNA from 1 species
UACGAAGGGGGCUAGCGUUGUUCGGAAUCACUGGGCGUAAAGGGCGCGUAGGCGGUCGCUCAAGUCAGGCGUGAAAGCCCCGGGCUCAACCCGGGAAUGGCGCUUGAGACUGGGCGACUUGAGUUCGGGAGAGGAUGGUGGAAUUUCCAGUGUAGAGGUGAAAUUCGUAAAUAUUGGGAAGAACACCGAUGGCGAAGGCAGCCAUCUGGACCGACACUGACGCUGAGGCGCGAAAGCGCGGGGAGCAAACAGG